CCCGCACAAGCGGUGGAGCAUGUGGUUUAAUUCGAAGCAACGCGCAGAACCUUACCAGCCUUUGACAUGGCAGGACGAUUUUCAGAGAUGGAUCUCUUCCAGCAAUGGACCUGCACACAGGUGCUGCAUGGCUGUCGUCAGCUCGUGUCGUGAGAUAUUGGGUUAAGUCCCGCAACGAGCGCAACCCUCGCCUUUAGUUGCCAUCAUUCAGUUGGGCACUCUAAAGGGACUGCCGGUGAUAAGCCGCGAGGAAGGUGGGGAUGACGUCAAGUCCUCAUGGCCCUUACGGGCUGGGCUACACACGUGCUACAAUGGCGGUGACAGUGGGAUGCAAAGGGGCGACCCCUCGCAAAUCUCAAAAAGCCGUCUCAGUUCGGAUUGUACUCUGCAACUCGAGUGCAUGAAGUUGGAAUCGCUAGUAAUCGUGGAUCAGCAUGCCACGGUGAAUACGUUCCCGGGCCUU
rnacentral:rRNA from 1 species